UAGGACGAUCCACAGAUGCAUGACGUUGUACCUAAAUAUAGUGUCAGAAUAACCUUGAAAAUUUGAGGGAUGACCUCAUUUAAUCUCCUGUAGCAAUUUUGAACUCUAUUGGAGGUGUUAUGCGUCUGGAUCGUCUUAC
rnacentral:ncRNA from 1 species